rnacentral:rRNA from 1 species
AUUGAACGCUGGCGGCAGGCUUAACACAUGCAAGUCGAACGAUGACUCUCUAGCUUGCUAGAGAUGAUUAGUGGCGGACGGGUGAGUAACAUUUAGGAAUCUACCUAGUAGUGGGGGAUAGCUCGGGGAAACUCGAAUUAAUACCGCAUACGACCUACGGGUGAAAGGGGGCGCAAGCUCUUGCUAUUAGAUGAGCCUAAAUCAGAUUAGCUAGUUGGUGGGGUAAAGGCCCACCAAGGCGACGAUCUGUAACUGGUCUGAGAGGAUGAUCAGUCACACCGGAACUGAGACACGGUCCGGACUCCUACGGGAGGCAGCAGUGGGGAAUAUUGGACAAUGGGGGCAACCCUGAUCCAGCCAUGCCGCGUGUGUGAAGAAGGCCUUUUGGUUGUAAAGCACUUUAAGCAGGGAGGAGAGGCUAAUGGUUAAUACCCAUUAGAUUAGACGUUACCUGCAGAAUAAGCACCGGCUAACUCUGUGC